UGAUUUAUACCAUAAGGUGCUGGCUAUCAUGUGUUUGAAGAUACCCUAAACUUAACCUAACCUAACCUAACAAAACCCCAAACAGUUACUAUAGGUCUUGACUCAGAAAACUCAUAUAUGCUUCCUUAGUUAUGAGACUUUCUAUACAACAAAGUGAGGUCAUUCUUUGUUGAUUUAUACCAUAAGGUGCUGGCUAUCAUGUGUUUGAAGAUACCCUAAACUUAACCUAACCUAACCUAACAAAACCCCAAACAGUUACUAUAGGUCUUGACUCAGAAAACUCAUAUAUGCUUCCUUAGUUAUGAGACUUUCUAUACAACAAAGUGAGGUCAUUCUUUGUUGAUUUAUACCAUAAGGUGCUGGCUAUCAUGUGUUUGAAGAUACCCUAAACUUAACCUAACCUAACCUAACAAAACCCCAAACAGUUACUAUAGGUCUUGACUCAGAAAAUUCAUAUAUGGUUCCUUACUAAUGAGACUUUCUAUAUAACAAAGUGAGGAUCUUCUUUGUUGAUUUAUACCAUAAGGUGCUGGCUAUCAUGUGUUUGAAGAUACCCUAAACUUAACCUAACCUAACCUAACAAAACUCCAAACAGUUACUAUAGGUCUUGACUCAGAAAACUCAUAUAUGCUUCCUUAGUUAUGAGACUUUCUAUACAACAAAGUGAGGUCAUUCUUUGUUGAUUUAUACCAUAAGGUGCUGGCUAUCAUGUGUUUGAAGAUACCCUAAACUUAACCUAACCUAACCUAACAAAACCCCAAACAG